ACAAGCGGUGGAGUAUGUGGUUUAAUUCGAUGCAACGCGAAGAACCUUACCUGGUCUUGACAUCCCAGAAAUCCCUUGGAAACUUGGGAGUGCUUCCAUUAGGAAGAAUCUGGAGACAGGUGCUGCAUGGCUGUCGUCAGCUCGUGUCGUGAGAUGUUGGGUUAAGUCCCGCAACGAGCGCAACCCUUGCCUUUAGUUGCCAGCAGUUCGGCUGGGCACUCUAAAGGGACUGCCGGUGUUAAACCGGAGGAAGGUGGGGAUGACGUCAAGUCCUCAUGGCCUUUAUGACCAGGGCUACACACGUACUACAAUGGCCGAUACAAAGGGCAGCGACAUUGCGAAAUGAAGCCAAUCCCAUAAAUUCGGUCUCAGUCCGGAUUGGAGUCUGCAACUCGACUCCAUGAAGUUGGAAUCGCUAGUAAUCGUGGAUCAGCAUGCCACGGUGAAUACGUUCCCGGGCCUU
rnacentral:rRNA from 1 species